rnacentral:rRNA from 1 species
AUACGGAGGAUGCGAGCGUUGUUCGGAAUUAUUGGGCGUAAAGAGCAUGUAGGCGGUCUGUUAAGUCUGGUGUGAAAGCCCGGGGCUCAACCCCGGAAGUGCAUUGGAUACUGGCAGACUUGAGUAUGGGAGAGGAAAGCGGAAUUCCGAGUGUAGGAGUGAAAUCCGUAGAUAUUCGGAGGAACACCAGUGGCGAAGGUGGCUUUCUGGACCAAUACUGACGCUGAGAUGCGAAAGCGUGGGGAGCAAACAGGAUUAGAAACCCCAGUAGUCC